rnacentral:rRNA from 1 species
GUCGAGCGGAGUUGUUGAGAAGCUUGCUUCGAUACAACUUAGCGGCGGACGGGUGAGUAACGCGUGGGCAACCUGCCCUGUACAGAGGGACAACAACGGGAAACCGUUGCUAAUACCUCAUAAAACCCUAAAGGGGCAUCCCUUAUGGGUCAAAGAAUUUCGGUACAGGAUGGGCCCGCGUCUGAUUAGCUAGUUGGUGAGGUAAUGGCUCACCAAGGCGACGAUCAGUAGCCGACCUGAGAGGGUGAUCGGCCACACUGGAACUGAGACACGGUCCAGACUCCUACGGGAGGCAGCAGUGGGGAAUAUUGCACAAUGGGGGAAACCCUGAUGCAGCAACGCCGCGUGAGCGAUGAAGGCCUUCGGGUCGUAAAGCUCUGUCCUAAGGGAAGAAUUUUGACGGUACCUUAGGAGGAAGCCCCGGCUAACUACGUGCCAGCAGCCGCGGUAAUACGUAGGGGGCAAGCGUUAUCCGGAAUCACUGGGCGUAAAGGGUGCGUAGGCGGUCUUACAAGUCAGGGGUGAAAGGCUACGGCUCAACCGUAGUAAGCCUUUGAAACUGUAGGACUUGAGUGCAGGAGAGGAAAGUGGAAUUCCUAGUGUAGCGGUGAAAUGCGUAGAUAUUAGGAGGAACACCAGUGGCGAAGGCGACUUUCUGGACUGUAACUGACGCUGAGGCACGAAAGUGUGGGGAGCAAACAGGAUUAGAUACCCUGGUAGUCCACACCGUAAACGAUGAGUGCUAGGUGUUGGGGGUCGAACCUCAGUGCCGCAGCUAACGCAUUAAGCACUCCGCCUGGGGAGUACGCUCGCAAGAGUGAAACUCAAAGGAAUUGAC